GGCCCUGAGCUCUGUGGGCCCCAGGAGCCCCGGGAAAACCUGGGGGAGAAUGGGCAUCCCACCCCAGCACUUUCUAGGAAGAAGGGCAACAUUUUGAAGGGCUGGAAGUAGAGAAAGAAGGUUGCGGGUAGAAGACUCCAUACUUUCUGUGACGCCUAUUCCUUAGGUAGGAACUUAGGAACCUCAGCUUGUGAUGAAUGUUUUCUCAGUAUCCUAUGCUGAAAACAGGUAGAUACUAAUCCCUCCUUCAAGGGAGGGCUGUUGAGUAUUGAAUAAGAUAAAAACAUGGAAGCAAUCAGCACAAUGCUGGAGAGCUUUUAUAUAACCAAAGAUAUUUUUGGACCAUGAAUUCGGAAAUUCUCGGAGCCACCCAUCAAUGCCUGAGCUUCAGUGAGUCCAUAUCCCAUGUCACCUACGGCAAAGGAGAAUCUGAGACUUCUGAAGAGUUUCUUGCUUCUUUCCUGUGGGGCAGUGACUCCACUUCCCAGCAGUAAUGGAAUAUCCUGAAUUAGCUACAUUAAUGUUAGAACCAUUUGGACCUCACCCAGGACUUCAACUACAUUGUGCUAAAGUUACAGAAUCCAAAUUUGGCAACUGCCUGCAUCUGAACAACAGAAGUUUCAACAUUCUGCCAACAGAGUAACUCCUGGACGACUGGCACAGAAGAAGGCACAAGGCAAAUACCCAUCUCUGUACACCCUGUGCUACUGUGUCAUGUGCUGCUCCAGGCAACUCCAAUGGAUUGGCCACCCUGGCCAAUGUGUUCUAGUAUGUUAGGUUUAUGUUCCCCUGCUUUCUACAAUCCUGUUCAAAGAGUUGCUGACUUAACCACAGAGAGAAUUCCAGAACAUGAGACACAGAAUAAACUUGAACAAUCAUAG
rnacentral:antisense_RNA from 1 species